rnacentral:lncRNA from 1 species
AAAUGUAACAGUAAUUUAUUUGAUAUUUAAUACUUAACAUAUGCAAUACAUUUCAGAGGAGGGGAAGAAAAAGAAAUAUAAAGGAAAAGAAACAUUUUUCAAAUGUAAAGUACAACUCAAUAUUUAUACAUGCAAUUUCACUAAUAUGUCAUGCACAGAAAUGACAUUUCAUAAAAGAUAUUCUAAAGUUAAUAAACAAAAAUGCUAAGCUGGCUGAAACCUUAUUUUAUUACAGUUUCAACAAAAGUAUAAAAUAAAAAGGGAAAAAAAUAUUUAAUCAUGGAAAACAUAUUCAGCCAGUUACAUAGGAAAAUGAUAAAUUUAAACUAAAAUCAUAAAAUAAAAAUUGAUAUUGCCAAGAUUAUAUAAUUUUCGUUUCACAUUAUGGAAUAUAACUUAAGCAAUAUUUAACAUAAUAUCUAUUAAGUGUCACCAAUAUAACAAAUAACCAGUAGAGAAUAUAUUUUUUUAAUAAUUUAAGCCGUUAUGUAUGAUGUUAUGAAUCUACACAAAACUAAAUGAAGAUAUCAGUUCUGAUAAUGUCAAAAAAGUUCAUUAUCAAGUGAAGAAUAAUUUCUUUCUGAAGCAUAAAACCCUUUUUGGUGCUGUUUUUCAUUUCCAACGUCCCCUAAAAGUAGGAGUAUUCAAUAAAGUAAAUCGUGGACAGCAAAGUGCCACAAAUGGGAAACUAUCUCAUUCAUGUGCAAGUCAUCAAUCUCAUGUAUUACUAGUCAUACGGGAUAGCCAGAACUAAAGUAAUAAUAUUUAAGCACAAACUAGCAUCAGAGGGAACUGUUAACUAGAAGAUCUACCACAUGCUGAACAUUUUAUUCAAAAUUCAAGUUAUAUUGCUGGUGUUUGGUGUCACUGAUGAAAUUUAUGGGAGCACAUCUGUUAGACAGCGUAGGCCAUUUAGAAGGAAAAUACAGUUGGAUUUUGAGGCUUUCAGAGGACACUUGAAAUGAAAAAGUACCCCUCCUUUUCUAAGGAGAGAAGUCAAUUGACUCAACACCAGUACAUUGGUAAUUAAUUUGUCAACACUAAGGGUGUACAAUUGGAAGAUUUGAAUUUAAAAAUAUGUUAUGAUUGGCACUUUAGUCCAUCUUGCAGACCAAAUUCAGUGAUUUAACUUCAGUUAAACAUUAGCCCUUUCAUACAAUAUAAAUUUUAUGAUGAAACUUUUAAAAAUGAUUACAUGAUGGUAAAAACAUACACUAAAAACUCCAAUGACAACAGUGUCUAAGGCAGUAUUUCAUGCAUGACAUGGUUUUACAGCAGUAGUAAGUCAAAUUGUUACUCAAAAUUCACAAGGAUUUUUUGGUAUUUCAUUAGUGGUUCAUAAAUAUUUACUGGAUAUAAAUCGGGAUUCACAUCAUUAAAACACAAGUUUAAUGUUCAUGUGUAAACUUCAUUUGUGCCAUAUAUCUUCUUAAGCAUCUAAUUUUUAUCAUAUGUGGUUUAUAUAUUAAGCAAAUCUAACUACCCCUUGUAUACAUGAAGCUGAAAAAGCAGUCUCUACAUUAUGUAUAUAUGAAACUUCAGUGAUUCAUAAUGGCAAAUAUUGGAAGAUGUCAUAUUUAUUUAUACCUUUCUCAAGGUCAUUAGUAAUCUAAAUGAUUUCUAUUGGUAGAAGUCAAGUCAAAAAAGAAAGUAAUUAGUCAUUAACUAUACCACUCACUAUACAAAAUGUGCCUUUUCACUAAUCAGUAGGGGUUUUCAAGCAAACAGGAUAAUUUAUGAAGCAACAAAAUAAGAAAAAAAUAGCAUAAGGAGAAAAUUUAUAUGGUACUAAAACUAUCAACUAAUUUCAAUAUAUUUGAGUUUAUUUGUGUCAUAUAUAAGUAGAUGACACAAACUGUAAAUAUUCAUCACCAGCAGUUACAUUCUACUGAUUUCAGGGAGUGGAGUAAAGCACUCUGAUGCACAAGACUUCUCCACACUACAAAAUGUGCAGUGUAAAUGAAGAGAAAUACUUACAAAUAGGAAAUCAAAAUUUGAUCAAUGAAUCGGCCCACCAAGAGCUUACAUCAAAUAUGCAGAGCUCAUAUAUAUAUAUAUAUAUAUAUAUAUAUAUAUAUAAUGGCAUUUUGUAAAUUUCGUAAAACAUAUGAGCAACAAUAAAAGACACAAUGGAGGUAAUACCUAAAUAUAGUUAAAGCAUAAUAUCAUUUUUAAUAAACUUAUUAAUUUUCUUUGUUUUUUUCUUUAUUACUUAUCCACACUCUCAUAUUUCUUUGUCAUCCCAACAUUUGUUGCUGGACUGACUUCAAACAACAAACUAAAAUGUCUUAAAAGUCAUCAGAUCUAAACCAAUGUAACUGUAAAUAUGAAGGAGAAUACCAAUUCCUGAGUAAUAGACCUGCUCAACCUGGAUCAAUCAAUUUUUAACAAUCAUUUCCUCAACAAUAUACAAGUUACAUUAGUUAUAGAUUUAAAAUCCAAAGUACAUUCGUACUACACCAAACAGUUCAGUAAUGGUAUCAGUUCAAUCAAGAGAAUGGUGAAAAUUUCUUUUAUUUUUGCUAUUUUUUUUUACUUUGUUUGAUUCCCUCUUUCUGAGCAAAAAAAAAAAUUGGAAUUUCAUAUAUUUGCUUCCAAAAUAAUUUUGGUUAAGAGACACAUCAAUUGCAAAGUAAAAUAUUUUUUCAAGAUAACUUUGUGGAGAAUUUGUAGAUGAAAGGAUCACUAAAACAUGAGUAUAAUCUCAGUUUUGCUUAGCUUACAUUUCUAAGAUAUUUUAGGGAAGCCAGCAAUAUAUACAGAUACAGAUAUAUAUAUAUAUAUAUAUUAUAUAGGAAUAACAACAACAGCAGCAGCAGUAGUAACAACAUCAUUGUUCAAGAUAAAAUGCAAAAAACUUUCCAACAGUUCAAAAUAAUUCAUGGAAAUAUAUAUUCUAAAACAUAACUACAAAAAAUAGAAUUUUCAAAAGCAUUUUAAAUCUCAUAAAAUAUUUCGAUAUAUAUGAUGAAACAUUUUGUUUGUAUGUGUUAAGAGUUAAUAUUGUUAGUUAAUUUUAUGUUGUACAUUCUAAUAGGUGUCAAAUCAUGCUAUUUUCAUUCUAGGAGCAUGGCAAGUGUAUGUAUAUAUAUAUAUAUAUAUAUAUAUAUAUACACAUACAUAUGUAUGUAUGUAUGCACACACACAAGCACAUGUAAAUGUAUUAUACAAACAUACAGAUUAUUAAAACCAUGACUCCUAAAAUGGAUUUCUUUUCAUUGAUAGAGAUGUAAGAAACUAGCUAUAAUGACAAAUAUAUAUAUAUAUAUAUAUAUAUUCAAAUAUGAAUUAGAAGCAGCACUAGUGUAUAUAUAUGUACACACAUACAAAUAUACACACACAUAUAUAAAUAUACAUACAUAAAUGUGUAUGCAUGCAUAUAUAUAUAUAUAUAUAUGCAAAAAAGACUACAGUCAUCACUCACAAGCAAAUAUGACUUGAUAGCAUAUAGUAUGCAGUCAUUAACUGUUCUAAGUGCAGUUAUGAGCAGACAUAAAUGCCUUUUCAGGUUCCCCAGUUAUUGGUUGAAUGGAACAUCAAGAUAAUGGCAGCUGGAGGGAGAAAGGGCUGCACCAGCAGUUGAGUAGACUGGAGCAGCAUGAAAUGAAUACUCUUGAUCAAAAACUCAGCAAGCCAACCAGCCUAGGAAUCAAACCCACAACCUUCUGAUCAUUAGCCCAACAUUCUAAACACAAGGUCAUAUACCUUUGUAUGUAUACACAGUCAUGCACACAUAUGAUCAUGUGCUUCUAACUAUACAUACACAUAUAUAUAUACAUAUACACACACAUAUAUAUAUAGUUAGAAGCACUUUAUAUAUAUAUACACACACACACACACGACAUAUAUAUAUAUUUAUAUUUAUAUUUAGAAGUGCAUGCACAAACACACAUACAUAUAUUUAUAAUAUAUAUAUAACAUAUAUAUGUAGACACACACAUACAAUAACUACAUUUGGAGAGUUAGAAGUAUUCAACCUACUAAUCAGAUAAACUAAUAACUCAUAAUUCAAUAAAAUGAUUACUUGAGUUACAAAAGAAAUUAACAAAUUUUUUAAAUAUCUAAUAAAUAACAAAAAAAUCCUCACAGAAAACAUAACUACAUCUACCAAUCAGUUACAUUAUAUCCCAAAUACAAAAUUACAAAAUAUAGAAGCUAAGCUUGGCAGUAUGUGGGUAAAUUAAUUGUUCAAAGAUAUCAAAAAUUUAAUCCACAGUGGCAGAUGAAUUAAUUACAUCACAGAGAAAACAUAAUCUGGAUAACACCUUUAGGAAGACAUAAAAAUGUAUUGAAUAUCAAUGUACAUAUAAAAACCUAUAUAGAAUUGUUUAAAUACUGAAGAGAUACAAAUGUCUGCUUAAAAUAAAUAUUGUACCCAUAUAUUCAUUAAAUGUACAUCUGGAGCCAGUCUGUUACUUGGUUAAUGUAAGAGUGAGGUAAUAUUUUAUAAUUGUAAUGCUUUAAGACAUCAAUAAGUAUAGUGUCUAGAAAUAUUGUCUACUGUUAUGAUUACUUGCCACCAAAGUAGUCAUUGAGAUAUGAACAACAGUAAGAAUAUCUUUAUGUUUAUAAGUCUCUUGCACAUACAUGUACAAUUUUGAAAAAACAAGAAAUGUGAAGUAGCAAACAAAUGGAUUGAGAGGUCAAAAGCCAUUUGAAAAAAAGUGUCAAACUUACAUCAUGAAACAAUAUCAAAACCAGAUUAUUAAAUACUAUGUAUGAAGGACUCUAGUGUGUGGAGUUGAAACAUAGACACUAACAAAACUAUGGAUUGCAAUAAUUUGAUAUAUUGGUACAUAGAUGAUCUUUCAGAAUAUGGACCAUCCACAAAACCCACAAUGAAGCACUGAAAAUGGCAAAAAAUUCAGAAAAUUUCAUUAGACACCAUCAAAGGAAGAAAACUAAAAUAUUUUUGGACAAUUUUAAUUAGAAAAGUCAAUUAAAGUGGGAUAUCUAUUUUAAUCUUUAAGCUGCAAAAUGAAAUUUCAUGGUUAUUCCAGUAAUGAUGUUAUACAUAUCUUCCAAAACAUAGAAUUGGUAUUUUUUGUAAGUCACAGUGCCUCAAUAAAUAUGACAGAUCUCAACAAAGAAUAGUUUCAAAUAUGAUAUUCCUUCAAAAUAGAUAGAUUUUAUAUAUAAAACUGCUUUCCACAGUUAAAGAUAUAUCUGAUUUCUAGAGUAAAAGGGUUUAAAGUACUAAUAAAGUCAGACAGUAAAGGAUCUAAAUUAAUAUAAUUAAGUGCCACUGAUGUUUUGGCGAUAAGAUAUAUCAUCUUUAGCAACUAUUGAUAAAUACAUAAAGUGCAUAAUAUAUUUCUAUAAACCAGUCACACACAACAUAAAAUGACUGCCUCUAGGUUAUAUGACAGAAACAAAUUCCUGUAAUAGCAAUGUAUUUAGUAGUGACAGCAGGGUCAUGUUUAAUGGUGUUUCAUGAUUAAUGAUAAUAAUAGUGUUGAGUUAAGUGGAUACAGUAGAGUCAUCUCGAAAGGAAACAGUAGUGUUGUGUUUAGUGAAGACAGCAGUGUUGUGUUUACAAUCAUCAAUGUUCUAUUUAUUGCUGAUGUUACAGGUAUACAGACUUUUGACAGUAGUGCUAUAAUGAGAAAAGACAGAGGUGAAAAGUUGAACUCAGUCAGAUUUGAACUCAGAAAGUAAAGAGCCAGAAGAAAUGCUACUAUGCAUUCUGUCCAAUGCACCAAUGAUUCUGCCAGCUUCCAGCUUUGCUUAUUAUAUCAAGUAAUAAUCAACAGCAAAUUUAUUAGUGCUAUUAGUAGAGCCAGUAAUGCUAUAUUGUGGUGCUAAUUGUAACACAUUCAAUAGUUAAGUAUUUUUAUUGUAUCUAAUGCAUAACUAGUAUAUGUUUAUUGAUCCACAAUAAAUGAAAGGCAAAACUGACUUAAAUGGGUACUGAACUGACUAAGAGUGAAGCACCAAAUUAAAUAAUGCAUACCACCAUGCUUUUACCAUCUGUUAUUGGUACUUAAUCAGCAUUAAUUCUCACAUUACAAUGUUGGCAAAAUUUCUAUGCUGGCAAUAAGGGGUGUUGUCAUUGUUGUUGUUACAGUUGUUAUUAGAUAGCCUUGCUAAACUCUACUUGAGUAGAACUGUUAUACAGAGUCAACUGAUCAAACAAAGAAGACCUUAGCAUUUCUACUUAAGGUCAUCUUGUUUUUUACUGAAGGGCAUGCAAUUUCAAGGUUAAGGACUUAGAUAUAAAAAAUAUGCUUCUUUUUGUUUUAAAACUAAUGAAUGGAGUGAUUUAGCUACAUUAACUAGGUCUGAAUUAAUAUAGUACAUUAUACUUGGUGUAUAAUGCUGUAUUAUAAUAGUACUGAAAUAGAGCUGCCUCUGCAAUGCUAGUAUAGUGCAGUGGUGUAUUUGUAUGUCUUAAUAUGUGAAGGUGUUUGUAUGAGAAAUAGAAAAGUGAAGGAGAGAGUGCUUAAGUGAGGUGUACAAGUGCAUGUGGACAAAAAAGCAUUUUCAUUGGUUCAAUGAGUUGUUUUGUUUCAAAUCAUUCUGCUGCUUCCAUCAAUAUCUCAUCUACCACCCUACUACCAUUAUUACCAUCACAACCACUACUACCAGAGCUAAAAAUAGGAACAAAUUUGUUACCAUCCAUCACUAAGACCACAACAAUUUCAUCACUGCAACAACAACAAUUUCAAAUACAUUCUGCAAACCAACAACAGCAAUGAUAUUUCAUAACAGAAAACCAAGGGGUGGAAUGUGAAGACAAGCUAAAUCUAUGUACCAUCUUAGAUUAAAUGUUGUCAAUCUUGGAAACCAAAAUAGAAAGUGAAAGCCUGACCUUUAAAUGUAAAGUGUUACAAAACUUUGUUGGGUUCCUGUGACAAACAAGAAAUAUUAGUGACAAUCUUAUUCUGACAUUUUACAGACUUGACAACAGGAACAACAUCAGACCAGUAUUCAAUGGCAUUUCUAAAUAUAAUACAAUAUUGAAAAAAAUAUAAACAAUGCUAAUUUGGAAUUUAUAGCAAAAAUAUGUAGUUUGAAGUAAAAAUGGUUAGUUCUGUAAAACAAAAUAUUAGCUACUUUUAUAAUUUCUAACAUAGGCACAAGGCCAGAAAUCUGAGGGGAGGAGGUUAAUUGAUUAAAUCAAUUCCAGUAUAUGACUGGUACUUUAUUUAAAGUAAAGCUGGCCACUUUAGUGUGAUUUUAAAGAGUCAGAAAAAAUAUAGAGCCAGGCUACAAAUCCACUGUUCUGGUAUGGUAAAAUAAUAAUUUCUAAGAUAAGCAUGAAAUAAGAAAUUUGAAGAGAUGAAAAUAAGGAUAUUGAUACCAUAUUAAAUGAAAAUAAGGAUAGUGAUACUGAUUGAGAAUGGUGAAUAGAAUUUUAUAUAACUACAUAAUACAAUGGUGAUUAAGGUAGAAUAUUAAGUAGUGACAGAAAUGUUACCAACACAUGUAACUCUAUAAAUGAUUGGUACUUUAUUUUAUCAACUCCAGGCAAAGUUGACCUCUGCAGGAUAGCUGAAAACCCAAGCUAAUCCACUCUUCUAGUAUCAAAUAAUAAUAAUAAUAAUAAAUAAUAAUAAUAAUAAUAAUAAUAAUAAUAAUAACAAAAAAAAAAAUAAUAAUUCUUUCUACUAUAGGUUCAAGGCCUGAAAUUUUGUGGAGAGGCGACAGUUGAUUACAUCAAACCCAGUGAUGAACUGGUCUUAUUUUAUUUGAUCUUGAAAGGCAAAGUGGACUUCAGCCAGGUUUAAACUUAGAAAGUAAAGAACCAGAAGAAAUGCAAUUAGGCAUUUUAUCCAGCACACUAACAAUUCUUCCAACUCACCAUCUUAACCCUCCAGCAUUUAAACCGGUCAUAUUUGGCCCAAGUAUUCCCUUGGCUCAAACCAGCCAGAUCUGGUUUCUCACACCGACCCUACAAUGUCAUUCUAAAAAUAAACAAUAACAUUGGAAUAUUGAAGCUACAAUAUAAUGCAUAAUUCAUUUAAAACAAUAUGAAAGAAUAAGUAUUACAUCUGACAGUAAAAUCUAAAUACUAAAGAGUCAACGAUAAUAUUAGUUGUACUUCAUGGAAAAAAAAUGAGGGUACUGUGUAGUGAAUUAUACAAUCUAUAUAAGUGACACCAACUAUGAUGGUACUGUGUGAUGAAGCACAAAAUAUGUAUGUGCAGCCAUAGAGAAAGUAAUGUGUGGUAAAUACAAUUACAAUGGCACAAUGGAACUAAGUGACACAAAUUCGAAUGGUACUAUGUGGUGACAUACAUUACGUAUGUUAUCCUAGUACUGUAUUGUGAGAUACACAAUCUAUAUAUGCAGACCAUUAUAUUAUGAUGAUAUAUCAAAAUAAAUUUGCAUAUCUGGAAGUGAUAGUGUGGCAAAUCUGACGACAGACAACUAAAGGUGAAAAGGUGACCACCAGCCAGCAAUGGAAUCGUUAUGUAAUUAUUUGACUUGCAAGAAAGAGCAACCAAAUCUUCUUCAUAGCAACCAAAUCUUCUUCCUACCACCUUAGAAAAAAAGGACACAUUGGAUAAUAUAACACAAGGUGCAGUAUGCUUCAAAUAAAGACAGGAUAUUCUUGAUCAGUGCUGACUUGACGUUAAACAUCAAUUAAAGAAAGGUUGCAGACAAAUAGAAAAAGAUAAGAGCUUUAACUUUUGCCAUUGUGCAAUAAUAAUAUCAAAUUUCACCAAAUCUGAAAUAUUGGAAAAUUAACCUCACCUUUUAUAAGCCUAUAUUAUGGCCAGUCUAUUCACCAAUCAUAAGAAGCCAUAUUUCUUUUACAUAGAUAUCUUUCAACUAGGAAUGAACUAACAUAAAUUUCAACUAUUUUAUGCUUGGUAGACAAUUGAUAUAUUUGUAUAAAUAUUUCACCUCAAAGCUAUUUCCUUUCAAGAAUAUUAUAGAAUAUACAGGAGAGAGGAUUCCAUCAGUAAUAUUUCACAACAUAAUUUAAUAAUAAAACCACUAACAAUUUAAUAAAUGUAUACUGUUUUUAAUAACUACUUAGUCAUUGCUUUAGUAAUAAUUCAUCUAGAAUUACAUUUCUUAAUUUGGAAACAUAAAUUUAAGAAGUGAAAAAACAAUAAAGAAUGGAAGAUAAAAGAAAGACACUAUAAUGAAUAAUAGACAAUGCCAAAGAAAACUGUGAUAGUAGAACACCAACUUAUAAAUUGCUAUAACUAAUAUAACAAGAUGGUAUAUUCCAUGAAAUAAAUGCUCACUAAAAAAGCACUGAAUCUGAACUCUGGGUUUGCUUAGCAUUUAUUUGAGGAUGUUAAAACAAUCCUUGCUUUAUUAACAGUAGCAAUAAUGUCCUUGGCAUAAGUGUUGAUUACUAUUUAAACAAACAUAUUUGUUUACUAAAAUACAUGUAAAAUAUUGUUUUUCAAUUUUGGAAAUCAUUAGUCUUAAUAUAUUGUAUUUGAUGAAAUAUAAGACGCACUUUUUUUCCAAAUAAAUAUCUCAAAAAUUCCCCUGGAUCCUAUAUGCAAAGUUGGGCACCCCAUAAACUAAUUUUGUUCACAAUGCUCAUUUUUCUUGAAUAUGUGCUACUGAAAUUGAGGUACAUCUAAAAUGCCCAUGUAUCUUUUAUGCCAUCAAAUACGGCAAUAAAAUCAUGUUGCCUACAAUCACAUGACAAUUUUUAGAGGGUUGUUUUUUCUUGGGGGGGAGGAGGGUUUACAUAGAAACCAAAAGACCAAGGAUGUAUAAGCAUAUCUCUGAAGCAACACAACACAUGAUGGCAUACCAUAUAAAAGUAUCAGAAAAUUGUAAAUUCAUGCUUUAAUAAUGGCAAACUGAUAUUUUGACUCUUUAACAAUUACUCAUAUUUAACAUAAAUACCAAUUCAUUCAUAAUUUGAUUUUAAUUACAGCUAAUUUAUCAUAUUUGAUCGUUUUCACAGGAAACCAAGAAACCAAUUUUGUAUGCUAAUUUAAUUCACGUGUACAUUAAUAAAGUAUUUUACUUGAAGCUAAGUCACAACUUGUUAGAAGCUAAAACACGCCAUUAGAAGGGAAAACAACUGUGAAAUUUAAAUGGAUGAACUUAGCACAGAAGAGAGAAGAAUAACUAAUGGAGAACGUGCUUGAACAACAAUGCCAACUGCCAACUGUAAUUCCAGUUAAUUCUCCUCACUACAAACAAAUUCACUAAAAUAUAUUUUUUAGAACAAAAUAAUCCUUUCCUGAGUCUAUUUCUGCAAUGAAAUGAUGUGAUGGUUAUUUAAUUUCCCAGACUUUAUUCCACAUACUAAUUUAAAUCUACUUCAAUCAAUAAUGGCAUUUUGUCAGUACAAAACUUCUAAAAUAUUUCCAUCAUUUCAGAUUUCCUUCACACUUAUUUUCAAUGAAUUUGUAUUUACUGAAUAAAUGAUAAAACAAUUAUUUAAACUUCAAAAAUGUUAAUUAAGAAUUAAUUAUUAGCAAAGGAAGCACCUUUAUAAGAGGAUUUCUCAAGGCCAAUAACGCAGUAUUCAUGGAUAUAAAGAUUACCUUAUGUCAAUUAAAGUCUACCUUUAAAAAAAAAUAUAUUUUCAUAGAUCUCCAGUUUUUAAGAUUUAAGUAUACACAACCCCCAAUCACACACAUUUGGAUGAGAGUAAGUAAAAUCAACAAAACUCAGUCAAAGCAUUCAGUCUUAGACGUUAGAAUUAAUAGUCUAAAGGUGACCUGCAUUGACAUUAAAUGAAUAGGAUACAGGAGUGUGCAGCAGUAUCAUUUUAUAUAUUUAUUUAUAUAUUUUCAUAUGUGUUUGUUUGCUUAAAUACUUUGUUAGAAAGUCUGUAAAACUGUUUAGUGUGGAGUAGCUCAUGCUGUAAGAUCAGUGAGAAGCAGGUGACAAUGUUAGCUUUCCUGUUGUGAGGAGGGUAUGGUUAAACAUCCAGCUUUUGCAGUAGUCAAUACCAGUAUUAGGGUAUAACAUCAAGGUUUGGUUAAGUAAAUAUUAAAAAAAGUGAAUACACAUACACACACAUACAUGCAUACAUGCAUGCAUGUAGAUAUGUAGGUAGGAAUGUAUGCAUGUAAGUAUAUAUGUGUGUAUGUACAUACAUCAUAGGUGAAUUGGAAUGUGUAAUCCAAGUGUUUAGCUCAUGAAGCAUUCACACAGACAGUGGCUAUCUGAAAGUGGAAAGGUGGGGAGGUCUAGGAUGUCACCACACCAGUAUUCAGAAAAUCCACAAAAGCAUCUAUAGAAUAUACAUGGUCUGAUCAAUAAGUAUCCAGACUGUUGUCAUAGUAAUGAAGCUAAAGCAUGCAGAGUGAAGCUGCUUAGCACAGAUUGACCAUGAACACUGCUGUGCAUGUGCACCAAAUUUUAACAUUCUAGCUCACUUCUGCUGUUUACAGCAGUGGUUGGAAGGAACGUGUGUAGCAUGUGAUCAUCACAUUGACCAUGACAGAGAAAGUUGAGCAGAGAAUCUGCAUUAAAGUUGCAGAAAGUGUAUGGAAAGGAGUGUGUGAGCCAAAAGAAUGUCAAUAGUGACAAACAUUCUGGGAUACCUGUUAGCAGCAGAACUGAGAAAAACAUCGCAGAUGUGCGGGGAGGUCAUCAAAUCACCAUCUGUGAGUUAUCAGAGUAUGUACAAAUUAAUUAUGGUUCAGUUCAGUCCAUUAUUACUGAAGAUUUGGAUAUGUGUCUGCCAAGUUUGGGCCAAAACUCAUUUCAGCUGACCAAAAUAACACACGGAUUUCAAUUGCACAAGAUCUCCUUAAAUUGUGUCGAGAAUGAUGAAAACUUUUUGAAAACAGUCAUAACAGGUGAUGGAUCAUGGGUCUAAGGCUAUAACCCCAAAACAAAGGCUCAGUCUUUGCAGUGGAAGACCCCAACCUCCCCAAGACAAAAGCAAUGUGAAGACAUUGUGGACCAUUUUCUUCGACUACAAAGGGGAUUGUUCAUCAUGAGUAUUUUCCACCUGGUCAGACAGCAAACAAGGAGUACUACCCUGAUGUUCUGCAGCAUUUGUGGAAUGCUAUUUGUCGAAAAAGGCCACAAUGGCAUGCAUCUGGUGAGUGGCAAUUGCACCAUGAAAACACACCUGGCCAUUUAGUGCAGCUUGUGGAGCAGUUUUUGGCUAGGCACAGCAUUCUCCAGGUCUGAUGGCCACCAUAUUCCCCAGAUCUCACCCCUUGCGACUUUCCAAAAAUCAAAUCCUGCUUGAAAGGUAGAUUUCAGGACAUCAAAGAAAUCAAAGUGAAUGUGACAAGGCAGCUGCUGAUUAUCCCAGAAAACAAGCUCCAGGAAACAAUGCUGGAUUAAGUGUGUGGAUUCCAAAGGGGACUACUUUGAAGGAGACUAAAUGCCAAAUUGGUACAUGUUGUAGUUUUGUUUUUAUAGCACUAGUCCGGAUACUUAUUGAUCAAACCUUGUAUAUAAUAAAAGAAUAUCAAAGAAUGAAGUUAGCUAACUUUUUAAGAUGUAAGUAAACAUAAACUAUACAUAUAUAUAUAUAGAUGGAUAGCUGUAAUUGGAUAAGAACUCACAACCAUGGAUCAAAACUCUGGACACAAUGUUCAUCAGGUUAUUUGUGUCUAUUGAACAAAGCCAACUAUAAACAAAACACAUGUUGAAUAGGUUAGAAGAAAGGAAUAUUUCUUUUACACUUGUUGAAAAGUUUCAGCAUUGCAUUUAAUGCUGCUUGUAAUAUUGUUUGCUGUGCCUUUAAUAUCUCAGUAAUUUAACUGAAUGUUAAUAAACAAAUAACAAGAAAUAAACCUUUCAAUUGCUACUGAGAUUAUAAAUGUAUAUAUAUAGCAGAUCGGUCAGAACAAACAAUAAACAAUAAUUUCUUUUAAAAAAUAACAAAACAAACAAGAAAACAGGUUAGAAAGAAGCUUUAAAACAGAAAAACAUAUUAACUAGAAUCUUUGAAGGAAUGCUCGACAGAGAUUAGUUGAUGUCACAAAUAUUUACAUAAAUAGAUUCACUUGACCUUUGGGUAAACUUUACAUAAUGAUGGGGAACAGAGCAAUGUAGCUACCUGUAAUGAAUUACAUAGGAAGACCUCUGAAUGAUAUGCAUGCAAUCUGCUCACCACAGCAAGAACUGGUAUGGAACAACAGCACACAAAACAGGCUCUAGUACAUCUCCGGUAUUGUAUGGCAGUAGUUUUUGGGGUGUUAAGUCAGUGAAGCAAUUUACAGUGCCAUAAAAAUAGCUUUCAUGUUAGGCUGUUUAUAAUUAAAAUAACUAUAGAUUUAAAAAAGAAAGAAAUAUCAAGUAUAGGCAUGAAGUUAUUUUUUAACAUCUUUUUCCGGAGUAGGAAAACAAAAGCAACAUCAAAUU